UACGUAGGGUGCGAGCGUUGUCCGGAAUUAUUGGGCGUAAAGGGCUCGUAGGCGGUCUGUCGCGUCGGGAGUGAAAACCUUGGGCUUAACUCAGGGCUUGCUUUCGAUACGGGCAGACUAGAGGUAUGCAGGGGAGAACGGAAUUCCUGGUGUAGCGGUGAAAUGCGCAGAUAUCAGGAGGAACACCGGUGGCGAAGGCGGUUCUCUGGGCGUGAUCUGACGCUGAGGAGCGAAAGUGUGGGGAGCGAACAGG
rnacentral:rRNA from 1 species